rnacentral:rRNA from 1 species
UACGUAGGGUGCGAGCGUUAAUCGGAAUUACUGGGCGUAAAGCGUGCGCAGGCGGUUUUGUAAGCCAGAUGUGAAAUCCCCGGGCUUAACCUGGGAAUGGCAUUUGGGACUGCAAGGCUGGAGUGUGGCAGAGGAGACUGGAAUUCCCGGUGUAGCAGUGAAAUGCGUAGAUAUCGGGAGGAACACCGGUGGCGAAGGCGGGUCUCUGGGCCGUAACUGACGCUGAGGAGCGAAAGCAUGGGGAGCGAACAGG